rnacentral:rRNA from 1 species
CCUACGGGUGGCAGCAGUAGGGAAUGUUGCGCAAUGGGCGAAAGCCUGACGCAGCAACGCCGCGUGAACGAGACGGGCUUCGGGGUGUAAAGCUCUGUCAGAGGGGACGAAAAAGGACGGUACCCACAGAGGAAGCAAUGGAUAACUCCGGGACAGCAGCCGCGGUAAAACGGAGGGUGCAAGCGUUGUCCGGAAUCAUUGGGCGUACAGAGGUCGUAGGCGGCAUGGACAGGACGGUGGUAAAGGCGCAGGCUCAACCUGUGUAUGGCACUUGAUACUUGCACGCUUGAUGGCGGUAGCGGUCACCGGAAUUCCUGGUGUAGCGGUGAAAUGCUUCGAUAUCAGG